rnacentral:rRNA from 1 species
UACGAAGGGGGCUAGCGUUGCUCGGAUUGACUGGGCGUAAAGGGCGCGUAGGCGGUUCGUACAGUCAGACGUGAAAUUCCUGGGCUCAACCUGGGGGCUGCGUUUGAUACGUGCGGACUUGAGUGCGGAAGAGGGUCGUGGAAUUCCCAGUGUAGAGGUGAAAUUCGUAGAGAUGGGGGAGAACACUCGUGGCGAAGGCGGCCAGCUAGACCAGUUCUGACACUGAGGCGCGACAGCGUGGGGAGCAAACAGG